UUAAAAAAAAUUCUAAGUAGGGUCUUGAGAUAAAGAAUGCCAGAAUCAUAUGUUAGAGUCAGGAAUUUGUAUGAAUUUUUAUGUGUUGUGUAGGCAAUUGGUAUCAGGAUAAGUUUUCAAGGAUACGGUUUGCAGCGUAUGUUUAAAGUAUCUGCAAUCUUC